UACGUAGGCAGCGAGCGUUGUUCGGAGUUACUGGGCGUAAAGGGUGUGUAGGCGGCCUAUUAAGUUUGGUGUGAAAUCUCCCGGCUCAACCGGGAGGGUGCGCCGAAAACUGGGAGGCUAGAGUGCGGGAUGGGAGAGUGGAAUUCCUGGUGUAGCGGUGAAAUGCGUAGAUAUCAGGAGGAACACCGGUGGUGCAGACGGCUCUCUGGACCGUAACUGACGCUGAGACGCGAAAGCGUGGGGAGCGAACAGG
rnacentral:rRNA from 1 species